rnacentral:rRNA from 1 species
UACGUAGGGUGCAAGCGUUGUCCGGAAUUAUUGGGCGUAAAGAGCGCGCAGGCGGUCGUUCAAGUCGCGUGUGAAAGCCCCCGGCUCAACUGGGGAGGGUCACGCGAUACUGAUCGACUCGAAGGCAGGAGAGGGUAGUGGAAUUCCCGGUGUAGUGGUGAAAUGCGCAGAUAUCAGGAGGAACACCGGUGGCGAAGGCGGGUCUCUGGGCCGAUACUGACGCUGAGGAGCGAAAGCGUGGGGAGCGAACAGG